rnacentral:rRNA from 1 species
GACGAACGCUGGCGGCGUGCUUAACACAUGCAAGUCGAACGGAAAGGCCCUGCUUUUGUGGGGUGCUCGAGUGGCGAACGGGUGAGUAACACGUGAGUAACCUGCCCUUGACUUUGGGAUAACUUCAGGAAACUGGGGCUAAUACCGGAUAGGAGCUCCUGCUGCAUGGUGGGGGUUGGAAAGUUUCGGCGGUUGGGGAUGGACUCGCGGCUUAUCAGCUUGUUGGUGGGGUAGUGGCUUACCAAGGCUUUGACGGGUAGCCGGCCUGAGAGGGUGACCGGCCACAUUGGGACUGAGAUACGGCCCAGACUCCUACGGGAGGCAGCAGUGGGGAAUAUUGCACAAUGGGCGGAAGCCUGAUGCAGCAACGCCGCGUGCGGGAUGACGGCCUUCGGGUUGUAAACCGCUUUCGCCUGUGACGAAGCGUGAGUGACGGUAAUGGGUAAAGAAGCACCGGCUAACUACGUGCCAGCAGCCGCGGUGAUACGUAGGGUGCGAGCGUUGUCCGGGUUUAUUGGGCGUAAAGGGCUCGUAGGUGGUUGAUCGCGUCGGAAGUGUAAUCUUGGGGCUUAACCCUGAGCGUGCUUUCGAUACGGGUUGACUUGAGGAAGGUAGGGGAGAAUGGAAUUCCUGGUGGAGCGGUGGAAUGCGCAGAUAUCAGGAGGAACACCAGUGGCGAAGGCGGUUCUCUGGGCCUUUCCUGACGCUGAGGAGCGAAAGCGUGGGGAGCGAACAGGCUUAGAUACCCUGGUAGUCCACGCUGUAAACGGUGGGUACUAGGUGUGGGGUCCAUUCCACGGGUUCCGUGCCGUAGCUAACGCUUUAAGUACCCCGCCUGGGGAGUACGGCCGCAAGGCUAAAACUCAAAGGAAUUGACGGGGCCCCGCACAAGCGGCGGAGCAUGCGGAUUAAUUCGAUGCAACGCGUAGAACCUUACCUGGGUUUGACAUGGAUCGGGAGUGCUCAGAGAUGGGUGUGCCUCUUUUGGGGUCGGUUCACAGGUGGUGCAUGGCUGUCGUCAGCUCGUGUCGUGAGAUGUUGGGUUAAGUCCCGCAACGGGCGCAACCCUUGUUCACUGUUGCCAGCACGUUAUGGUGGGGACUCAGUGGAGACCGCCGGGGUCAACUCGGAGGAAGGUGGGGAUGACGUCAAGUCAUCAUGCCCCUUAUGUCCAGGGCUUCACGCAUGCUACAAUGGCUGGUACAGAGAGUGGCGAGCCUGUGAGGGUGAGCGAAUCUCGGAAAGCCGGUCUCAGUUCGGAUUGGGGUCUGCAACUCGACCUCAUGAAGUCGGAGUCGCUAGUAAUCGCAGAUCAGCAACGCUGCGGUGAAUACGUUCCCGGG